UUUUCGUCUAAUGUACUUUUUUACCAUGUUUUGUUUYAGAUUAACCCAGAUUUUAAUUAGACUACCCAUUCUGGAGAGCAAAUAUAUUUCAACAGGACCGGUGCAACUUUCAUUGUGGCUUAUUAAUCAGGCAUUUGUUACCAUAAAUGUAUGAUUUUUCGACAUUGACAGUCGAAUGAUGGCGUGUAUAAUUGACCUCAGAUGUUUUCAGUCAGUAUGAUUGACAACAUGUUGGCAAAAUCUAGUGUGCCAGCGCAAUGUGGAACGGUGACGACUCUUCAGAUGGGUUACUGAGUCCUUGAUCURAAGUUACCACGUCAUGCGUAGGCUGGCUAAUUGUAAUUUAAGCGCGACGGUAUUUUUUAAAAUCCUACCCUGCGCAAUUAAAAUGCAGGACGUUGCCCAUUAUCCUAUAGGCUAUGGGAACCGUUGUCCACAAGGUGAUGGCACUUACAACAUGUCUUAAUUAAGGUGCAUAUUGUUGGGCUAUAUUUCCAUAGAGCUAUUGCGUUUACUGCCUAGGCUACUCCGUGUGCCUAGAUGAACGUUUGCCCUUUUAAAAAUGAGUCGUACGAAAGUGAAGUCCUAUUGCUAAUUGUCCCGAUUCGUCAAAUGUUUCAGGUUUACCUGUUUCACAUGUGACAAGCCCUUCUGCUCUCCCGUUUUAGGUCCACGCGCAAAAUGCUACAACACAGUCCCCUGCCAUGAAUGCUACGACCAGAGCUGGCGGUGCGAGUUCCAACAUGACCAAGAUGCCCGAUGUCACCAAGAACAACAACAUUGCCAAAGGAGCCAGUGCAUCCUUGCAGUCCAGYUCGGUUGCGCUCAUCAUACCCAUCAUGGUGGGGGGCUCACUACAGGGGCGCUUCUAGAGGGCUGUUGCGCAGGGAAUCGACACCGGCAAGACUUGAACAUCAGCGGCCGAGAUGGGGCAAACUUUUUUACUAAGAGCACCUUUUGUAUAUACUUUUCAGAAAGGCAGUCAUGUGCGCUCCUAACCGAAGAGAUUCGGUGGGUUCCGUGCUGGACGAGAACCCAUUUCUACUUCACUGAUGGGAGUUAUUUGCCCUCACACCUUCAAACCAGUAGGCCUUCACACCUCGCACACUGGCCCCAUGCUCAUAGGCCGAACGGUACGGUCCUCUCCCUGGAGGCAGUCCAUGAUGAGGAUGCACUCUGCUCUUUGAACCGUUUGGUCGACACCAGGGGGUUGCUUAGUAAUUUGUUAAGAAGUUAACAUAUCUAAAGAAAUGUUGGUUGAGGCACUUUGAAARUAAGGUAUAAAUGAAUCUGUGGCACAUGCACAGGCUUGAUGUACACUUGUGAUAUAUUUCUAGAAUAUGAAAUUGUAUGGGUUAGCAUGUGAGAUUUGAUUGUAUAAAUCAUGAUGUGAUAUGCUUAGAUUUGUUAAGGCCAGGCUCAAUUAACCUUUAAAAUGUAGGAUACUUGUGACCAUUUUCUUGUGUAAUAAAAAUAUUUUAACAUGAUGUUUCUUCUCCUGUCUCUAAAUUCUAAAGCUUGACCUGACAAGUAAUUUGCUCUGUUCCCACUUUGUGUCCAGCCCUUUAUUGAUCAC
ensembl:lncRNA